CCAGGUAUGUUUUCUUUUUAUUGAUUUUGCUCUAGUACUGAUCGAAUUUCUAACGAAACACUUCAGGCGAUUCAAGAAGACCAAGGCGAUUCCAACCACUCGACAACCCUAAGGUUGAAAAAGAUAUUCUGUAUGCUUAGCCUUUGGUUUGCAUAUUCAAGAUUUGCUUCAAAUGAACUCAUUCCUAAUGGCUUUUUAACGGUUUUUUUUUUGUUUGAAUCUUGUUCAAUAUAUGGGUGUAAAAAGAUCUAUACUUUACUUGUUGUUUGUGGGGUUUAUAUUGAUCUUUGUUGGCCCAAUUUCUCUUGCUACCAAAGCUGGUGAUGGUAGCUGUUUGUGUAAACUCAAUUUGAGUACUUUUUAGUUUGUUUAAUUUCUUAAUCUCAGAUCUACCAAUGAUUUUUAACUUUUUAGUAUGUUUAAUUUCUUAAUGGUGUUUUAUGGUGUAGAUGAAGAUAGGGGGAUGAAGGUCGAGACAGAAAUCUGCCACAUUCAAGAUCCAAUUUUACAGACUUGGAAAAUCAUGAAACAACAAACAUUAUUGCAGAAAGAUGACACACUAGGAGAAUGAAUUGGUGAAAGAGAGGACACUGUGGCUCGGUUCAAGAAAAUUCAAAUUCAGCCUUACCAUCGUCUUCCUUUAGUUUUGGCCCCAAUGAUGUUCAAGUCCAGGUCAAGGCUCUGGUUUGCGAUAGCUAUGUUCAUCACUUUAAGGAAAAUAAUUUACGCCUAUGUUUUCAAAGACGCAAGGCGCAAAAAAAAGCGUGGGCUUUUUAAGAAAAGCGCACAUAGAGA